UUUGGAAACUCCUGCUCUGGGGAGUACACAAUAUUUCAGUGCAGGAAAACCACGUGGUUGGUGCUGCCCCCUGGUGGCCAUCCGCAGGAAGGCGCAGGGGGAUCCGGCGGCGUCCUUGCUGGUUGCCGGGCAUCGCGGCAUUAAAGGAAGUGAAGAGAAGAACCCAAGAAGGGACCUCGAAGAACAGACCAAGAGCAGCACUCGACAGGCAAGAAGUCCCUUUGAAGCAAGGCAGCCUCAGAAAGUCCCAGAAAAGCAGCCCUCCCACCAGAUGUCCCGGAAUCCCUCACUACGGCCACCACCUCCACCACCUCCACCUUCUCGUGAAGUUAAAGAAGAACGUUGCCCAUGUAACACCGACCAUGUCCUGAAGCACAGUGGCAAACUCUUGAAAAGGUACAAGGACAUCGAGUAUGUACAACAGCGUUAACCACAGAGCGGCUGAUAGCAGCUGGAAGAGAGUCCCUUUCGUAGAUCUGAAUCGAAAGUCACAAUGUUGCUGACAUCAGUGGUGCAAGACUACAUGGCAAAGAGUUAAUGACUCCAUGCAUCGGGAACUCGCCUUACCUUGCAAUAAAAAGCUCUAGGUUGCAGACCCAAAGCAUGGCUCGUUUGUCUGAAACUGGGUGUAACCAAGUUAUGGCUUUUUCCAUUGCUGAUCCUUGAAAUGUCUAGCUAUAUAGAGCUGCUACUUAUCCUUUUUUGUAUGGGGCAAAACCGACAACAUUUCUGAGUGGGGACAU
rnacentral:lncRNA from 11 species